GAGGGUAUAGCUCAGUGGUAGAGAGCACGCCUAGCAUGCACAGGGUCCUGGGUUCAAUCCCCAGGACCUCCA
rnacentral:tRNA from 1 species